CAGGGACCAAAUUCAGCUAUUGCUCUCUCUCCUUCAAGCAUUCUUCCUGAAGGUAAGCAAGCUCACCCUGUAAUUGGGGAUAAAAGCUGAAUGGACAGAUGUGUCCAAUCAACAGUGUUUUGAUUAGAAGAAAGACCUGAGACUCACAGGAAGGAGGUCUCUGACCAUAAUCCACUAACAACACUAACAACAGCAGAACAUAAGUUGCAUCAUUUUCAAAGAGAAACAAAGUUCAGCCAAUUUUGGAAAUGUUGAAGAGAUUGAAUCAACAAGUCAUCGUAAUCUACUGGACGGUCAUUGAAGUCCAGUGUCAAGACAAAAGUCAAGAUGAAUGGUCAUGGCUGAGGAUACAGUGGAUGACCUUGGCUUCUUCAAUGUCUGAUGAAAUUAAGUUCUCUACAGCAGAGCUUCCACCACUUUCAUGGCCAAUGGAACAUAUCUCAUCCAAAGUUCUUAUCCACUGCUUCCCCUGAGGGAAAUCUUCCCCUGCCUAGAGUAGACACACAACCCUAGCUCACCAAUGGGUUUGAGGUCUGUUGGUUACCUUCAACCUAGUUUAACCUGCUUGCUGAAAUGGUUUGAUGGCAUAUGGCCACUGUUCAUGCUACAGCUUCUUGAGUCACAGAUGAGAGCCAGGUGGCAGAGGACACCAAAAGAGCUCAGCAAGACCUCACACACAUCAAGACACUAGUUUUUCCUGAAUGCCUCAUAAGAAAAGAAGACUGAAGAUAAAGCAUCCUAGGCAAUAUUUACAUGUGAGAAUAGACUAUGAAUGAUGAUUCUGCAAAGCAAUGAUAAUAAUAAGAUGAUAAACAUCUGUAAGAGUGGUGGGAACAAAUCAAAACAGAUCAAUGUCACACAAACCCAGAGGAAGAAAAGUAUGUAAAGGGAAGAAGUGUUCAACAGAAUCAAAUGUAUUCUUUUGAUAUGAAUAGAACAUAUUGUCUGUCCCUUACUUUUUGCUCCUCCCUCCCAUAAUCUAAUGAUAUUAUUUAUACCACAAAUUGCAUUAUGUAGCAGCCUACUGUGAGACAACUGAUGUGCUUACAUUAAUUAUUUGUGCCCUGAUCAGACCACAUUUGGAUUUUUUGUCCAGUUAUUGAUACCAUAUUUUACAGAGUGCAUUGAUGAGCUGGGAAAAAUCCAAAAGAUGACUAGGAUGGUGAAGAGCCUUGAGAUCAUGCCUUAUGAAUGCAAAGUAAUGAGACUGGUGUAGUUUAGCUUGGAUAAGAAAAGACUUAAAUGGGCUUACAAUAUUUGAAAGUCGAUUUCAUAUGGGAAAGGGAUUAGGCUGUUUUGUAUGGGUCUACAGUACAGAAUUAGAAGCACAAAGAAGUAGAAGUACCAGGGAGGAAGAUUUUGGCUCAGUGUAAGGAAAAAUUUCCUAACAAUUAGAGCUAUCCCAAAAUUGGAAAGGGCUGUCUCAAGAGAUUUUCCAUCACUAGAAGUGUUCAAGCACUGGCUAGGGCAACCACUUGUCAGAGAUAUUGUUAAAAAGAUUCUUGUUCUGGUUUGAUUAGAUACCCUCUGAUGUUUCUUCCAAGUCUAAGGUUCUGUGAUAUGACAAGUUCAACAUGAGCCAUGAAUGUGACUUGAUGGCAGCCAAAAAAAAAUAAUGUGCAACCCAAAUUGCAUUUAUAAAGGCACAGGAUUCAUAAUGAAAAAUCUGUUCAUUCUCCUGUAUUCUGCCUUGCUUCAACCAUGUCUUGAAUACAUUGUUAUGUUGGGGCCAAUGUUUUUUGGAGAACAUUGACAAGUUAGAGAACAUCCAGAAAAGUGUAGUUGGGGUGCCAAGAAUAAUUGAAAUCUUGCUUUAUAUGGAUUCGUUGAAAGAACUUGGGAUGUUUCUCUUGAAGGGAAGACUUUGGAAAGCAUGAUAACUUCCUUUCUGUAUUUUGUUGUCAUAUCAUCAAUUUAGAGCAGGAAAAGACAUGAAAUCAUCAAGUCCAAUCUCCUCAGAGAUGAAGAAACUGAGACCCAGAGAAACAGAUUUGGCCGUGGUCAUGCAGGCAGGGUCAGAUAAUAGAUAUGAACCCAUUUUCCUAAUUCCAAAUCCAGGAUUCUGUCUACUAUGCUUCUGAAGUUAUUUUGAGAGAUUGCCAUGUGGAACAAUAAUUAGACUUGCUCUGGUUGGUCCCAGAGUACAGAAAUAGGAUAAACAAUAAGGCAUUUCAGAGGGAAAUAGUUAAGCUCAAUAGCAGGAAAAAUUUUUCUAAAAUAAGAGCUAGCCAAAAGUAGAAUGAGCUGCCUUACAAGGUAGUGAGUUCCUCAUCAUUGGAGGACAUCAAGUGGAAGCUAAGAGACCACCCCAAGCCUUGACACCUGCAUGCUGGCCUCUUCCUCAGCCUCCUCCCACUAAAAUUCAAAGUUAUAUCCCUGAGACACUGGACUCUGAUUAGUGAGCUCUCACCUGUGCUGGACCCACUGUACCACUUCCUGGCCAUCCCCAAAGCAUUCACAUACCCUAUGUCUCACUUUCCCAUCUCCUCUUUCUUUUUCUUCUAUGUUGUUUUGUCCACUAGACUGUACAUUUCUUGAGGGCAGAGACUAUUUUGUUCUCUCAUAUUUGUAUCUCCAGGACUUAACACAGUUCCUGUCACAUUGAGACUAGUUAAUAAAUAUUUUCAUUGAUAAAUUAAUCA
ensembl:lncRNA uncharacterized LOC107650183